GAUGAACGCUGGCGGCGUGCCUAAUACAUGCAAGUCGAACGCUGAAGGAGUAGCUUGCUCCUCUGGAUGAGUUGCGAACGGGUGAGUAACGCGUAGGUAACCUGCCCGGUAGCGGGGGAUAACUAUUGGAAACGAUAGCUAAUACCGCAUCACAACAGUUAUUGCAUGAUAACCGUUUAAAAGUGGCAACUGCUCCACUACCAGAUGGCCCUGCGUUGUAUUAGCUAGUUUGUGAGGUAAAGGCUCACCAAGGCGACGGUUCAUAGCCGGCCUGAGAGGGGUGACGGGCAAAACUGGAAUGGGGACAGGCCCAGGCUCCUACGGGAAGCAGCAGUAGGGAAUCAUCGGACAUGGGCGGAAGGCUGGACGAAGAACGCCGGGGGGGUGGAGGAGGUUUUUGGGUCGGAAAGCUCCGUUGUAAGAGAAGGAAGAGUGUGAGAGUGGAAAGUUCACGCUGUGACGGUAUCUAACCAGAAAGGGACGGCUAACUACGUG
rnacentral:rRNA from 1 species